GACGAACGCUGGCGGCGUGCUUAACACAUGCCAGUCGAACGCUGAAGCUUGGUGCUUGCACUGGGUGGAUGAGUGGCGAACGGGUGAGUAAUACGUGAGUAACCUGCCUUUGACUCUGGGAUAAGCCUGGGAAACUGGGUCUAAUACUGGAUACGACAUGUCACCGCAUGGUGGUGUGUGGAAAGGGUUUUACUGGUUUUGGAUGGGCUCACGGCCUAUCAGCUUGUUGGUGGGGUAAUGGCUCACCAAGGCGACGACGGGUAGCCGGCCUGAGAGGGUGACCGGCCACACUGGGACUGAGACACGGCCCAGACUCCUACGGGAGGCAGCAGUGGGGAGUAUUGCACAAUGGGCGGAAGCCUGAUGCAGCGACGCCGCGUGAGGGAUGACGGCCUUCGGGUUGUAAACCUCUUUCAGCACGGAAGAAGCGAAAGUGACGGUACGUGCAGAAGAAGCGCCGGCUAACUACGUG
rnacentral:rRNA from 1 species